ensembl:lncRNA
ACUGAAGGAAGGUUCUGUGGCUGGAGAUCUCUCCUUUGUGUGGAGUCUUUCCUGCAAGCCUAGGUCUUCAGAGGUCUCAACAGGUCAGAUGUUCUCUGGACCUACGACCGAGUGAUAAAUCCCAACUUACAUCCUACUAGUUACAGCAGUGACCACCGAAACGGAGGAUCCCCAUCCCUGCUGCAGGUUAGAUCAUGGAGCAAGGCUAUUGCACAGCUCCUGUGCCCCUGAAGGAUGCAAUGAAUGACACAUCAUGCCCAGAAGGUUCUCAGUUGCCAUGAGUGACAACCGCGAUGGGAUAUCUUGAGAGACUUGCCUCCGCCUGUUUACAAGGAGCAAUCAAAGAUGCUGCCAACUGCUCCCACUGCGAUUUCCCCAAACACACACAAUUCUGCUGCAGAACCUUAAGUAUGUGCUUCUGGAUUCGCCAAAACCACCCCAGUUGUGGCGGUACUGUGCAGAUGAACGCUCCUGUUUACAUCUGUGAGGGAUGUGUCCAAAUUUCUGCCCACAGGAGAGCUUCUGAUUUUACAAUGCUGGCAUGGGAUGGUACUGAUAGGUCACCAGGCACUCUGUUUUUGCCUUCCAUGGGUGUUGCUCAUGGGAUAGUGGUGAUGGAAGCAGCAAGUCGCCCUCUUUUCCUUCGUUGUUCUGGCUUUCCCUCAUAAAAUGUCUGCAGCCAAAGUAUUCUAGCUGAGGGAAAAAAAAAUAAUCAGAGAUUUAUUCUUGGUUUCUCCAACGGUUUCAUUCUAUAGGAGUGCUGUGGAAAGGCUCACAGCCUCAGGAAGAGGCAUGAUGCUGGGAGAUAAAGGGUGAGAAAAGGGCUGUGUACGAAAUAGGAAAAGUGAGUACCACACUGCAACCGAGUGCCUGUAUUUUAACUGGGCAAUCCAAUAAAAAUGAGACUUGUUUUU